rnacentral:tRNA from 1 species
UCUAUUGGCAGACCACUGCAUUAGAAUUAGAAUCUAAUUACCCUAU